GCCGCGGAAUUGCGACGCUUGCUUCAGCCAAGCGGUGCUUCAUGCAUAUCGCCGGGCUCAACAGAAACGAGUUGGCACCGGAACCUGCCGCGUCGCCUUGUGUAUUACCAUCGAUGUCUCGGUAGUCGAAUACGCGAGCUGGCUCUCUCUUGCCAUUACGAACGCUCUCAUCAUUCCCCAACAGCCGAAGCCGAGUUAUUGACUGUCUGUACACGGUGUCUAGCCUGACGUUUUGCUCGGUUAUUGUGAGCCAUCCUCGAGAUCGUUGGUUGGGAAACGCCUCUUGAGUGUUUGAAGAGAGGGCUGACCAGCCUAUAGCAGCGUGUCAUUUCCCCUUUCUUGCUCAGUGUUGGAUAAAAAGAGCGGGUUCUCAAAAGAGCGGUGCUAUUACCGAGUUGUGACCGGGAACCAGUGCUUUUAAGCUUCCAAUUCAAUAACGAGGACAUCGAGAGACAUCGUCAUGCAGUACGGAUCAGUGUUUUUUGCAGCGCUCCUCACCGUAUUUCUUCUUUCGACCGGUGUCACGUCGCGCCGCCCAGGUCGAUGUGACGUGGUGCGCUGCGCUGGUUGUCCCCCUGGGUCCACGUUCAGCCCCACGCCGACUAACUGCUGCCGAUGCGUUCCUAAAGUCGACUGCAGGACUGUGUUCUGCCGCCAAUGUCCUAGGGAAACCACUCUUCGCCAGACCCCCGAAAACUGCUGCGAAUGCGUGAGGGGACCCAUAUGAUGACAAGGCGACUGCUCCAUUGCCUACAAGGUGCAGAUGAAGGAAUGUUUGCACAGGCCAUGUGCAUAGCGCACAGUUUGCGAGCAUGAGUCUAUGAGCAUGAGCAAAUUGCGCACAGUUUGUGAGCAUGAGCAAAUAAAGACAUGCAA
rnacentral:lncRNA from 1 species